UAUAUAUUUGCGCUAUUAGACGCUAUAACAUUAUCCAUUCUAUAACUUUGUAUAUGGGUGUAUAAAAAUUCAUAGCUAAGGCUUUCGACAUUGUUUCCAACAUCGUAAUCAUCCCAAGCUACACAUAGUGCACAGGUGUGAGAGGUGGAUGUGUGAUCAAGGUGUGCACAUGCCUUAAAGGCCAGCUACAACCCUUCUCAACAUUCAUUUCAUUAAUGAUCCUUCCGCAGGUUCACCUACGGAAA
rnacentral:misc_RNA from 1 species